rnacentral:tRNA from 1 species
GGGGAUGUAGCCAAGUGGGAAGGCAGCGGUCUGCAAAAUCGCUAUUGAGCCGGUUCGAUUCCGGCCAUCCCCU